rnacentral:rRNA from 1 species
AGUGAACGCUGGCGGUAGGCCUAACACAUGCAAGUCGAACGGCAGCACAGUAAGAGCUUGCUCUUACGGGUGGCGAGUGGCGGACGGGUGAGGAAUACAUCGGAAUCUACUUUUUCGUGGGGGAUAACGUAGGGAAACUUACGCUAAUACCGCAUACGACCUACGAGUGAAAGCAGGGGAUCUUCGGACCUUUCGCGAUUGAAUGAGCCGAUGUCGGAUUAGCUAGUUGGCGGGGUAAAGGCCCACCAAGGCGACGAUCCGUAGCUGGUCUGAGAGGAUGAUCAGCCACACUGGAACUGAGACACGGUCCAGACUCCUACGGGAGGCAGCAGUGGGGAAUAUUGGACAAUGGGCGCAAGCCUGAUCCAGCCAUACCGCGUGGGUGAAGAAGGCCUUCGGGUUGUAAAGCCCUUUUGUUGGGAAAGAAAAGCAGCAGGUUAAUACCCCGCUGUUCUGACGGUACCCAAAGAAUAAGCACCGGCUAACUUCGUG